CCUAUGCUCACAUAAAAUAAGCAACGAGCAGAAAUGACCCAAAUAUUCACCAAUGGAUAAUAUGCCAAGAGAAGCCAGGGCAAAGGAAAGCACAUAGGCUGCCUGGUUCCAUUUAUUCAAAAUUCUAGGGAAUGUAAACUAAGAUAAAGUGACCACAUGCUGAAAACUGCGUGGAUGGAGGGGUUACAUGUGAAAACUGUAGUAAUGGGUCAGUUCACUGUGUGAACGGCUUCAGAAGUAUACACAUAUGUAAAAUAUUAUCAAAUUGUGCCCUUCAAAUACGUACAUUUUUCAAUGGGUGUAAUGGCACAAGCCUAUAAUUUCAGUAUUUGGGAGACUGAGGCAGGCGAGUCAGGAGUGUGAGGCAAGCCUGAGCUUCCUAGGAAGACCUUGUCUCAAUGACAAACAAAGGUUGGGAAGAUGUAGAUCAGUGUUUGCCUUGUAUGCAUAAUGCCGUAGGCUUGAGCCCUCAAACAAGAAAAGAAUGUACAGUGCCGUUGUCUGUCAACAACACUGCAGUAAAACUAGUUUUGUUUUUAUUUACUUUAUCUGGAGCAGUCAUCCAAGGCUGAAAUCCAUCAAAUGCCUUCUCAUCCUUCCAGAAAGCAAACCCUUCCAAGCACUGGGGUAGAAGGAGAAAAAGGAAACAAGGACUUCAAAUGCUACUCUGAGCCUAGGAUACCAUUGAACAUCUGAUUCUUCUGCCUCCACAACUUAAGUGCUGGGAUGACAGAUGUAUAUCACCAUGCAGUGUUGGGGUCUGAACCCAGGGUUUUAUGCAUGCUAAAGCAGUACCCUUCCAAUUGAACUACAUCCCCCAGACACAUAAAACAAUGGGUUUUAUUAUGACAUUUUAUACAUAUAGAUUAUUGUAUUCUGCUCAUAUUUGGCCCCACCCAAUAAAAAUUUCCUGUUGGACUGAA